UACGUAGGGCGCAAGCGUUAUCCGGAAUUAUUGGGCGUAAAGAGCUCGUAGGCGGUUUGUCGCGUCUGCCGUGAAAGUCCGGGGCUUAACCCCGGAUCUGCGGUGGGUACGGGCAGACUAGAGUGCAGUAGGGGAGACUGGAAUUCCUGGUGUAGCGGUGAAAUGCGCAGAUAUCAGGAGGAACACCGAUGGCGAAGGCAGGUCUCUGGACUGUAACUGACGCUGAGGAGCGAAAGCAUGGGGAGCGAACAGG
rnacentral:rRNA from 1 species